GACAGAGGGUGCAACCGUUGUUCGGAAUUACUGGGCGUAAAGCGCGUGUAGGCGGCUAAGUAAGUCGGGCGUGAAAUCCCACGGCUCAACCGUGGAAGUGCACUCGAAACUGCAUAGCUAGAGUCCUGGAGAGGAAGGUGGAAUGCUUGGUGUAGAGGUGAAAUUCGUAGAUAUCAGGUGGAACACCAGUGGCGAAGGCGGCUUUCUGGACGGUAACUGACGCUGAGACGCGAAGGCGUGGGGAGCAAACAGG
rnacentral:rRNA from 1 species